CAACAGGAUGGCUGAAAUGGUGUACAGGAACAUUUCAGGAACAACGCAUCCAUGCCAAUGAGGAGAGGGGAACAGCGGAAAAUACAGUAAGCAGUGAAACAAGCAGUAACUGUAUUUUUGAUGGUCUCGACUGCAG